GGGUAGAGUAAUGCGUGACCAACCUGCCCCAUGCUCCAGAAUAGCUCUUGGAAACGGGUGGUAAUGCUGGAUGCUCCAACUUGACGCAUGUCUUGUUGGGAAAGUGUUUAGUGGCAUGGGAUGGGGUCGCGUCCUAUCAGCUUGUAGGCGGGGUAAUGGCCCACCUAGGCUUCGACGGGUAGCCGGCCUGAGAGGGCGGACGGCCACAUUGGGACUGAGAUACGGCCCAGACUCCUACGGGAGGCAGCAGCA
rnacentral:rRNA from 1 species